rnacentral:lncRNA from 1 species
ACAAAAAGUUUGGUGUUUUGAUUCAAAGUUUUGAUUUAUUUCAUAAAGUCUUUGUUUUGUGCUUAAUCAAAUGUUUUAAUGUGAUUGAAAUUUUGAAAGGUGAUAGAAAUGGUGAUGGGUGUGUAAGAAGUACUUCUCUUACACACACACCACUUGCAUGAAUUUAUGUCACACACACCACUUGCAUGACUUUAUGACUUUGUUGAAAAAUUUCAAAAUUUUGCAUUCCUCACUCUCUCUAAAACCGGCCACCCUACAAGUGGGGUGCUUUUGGGGGCUUUUAUGCAAUUACAUAAAGUUUUGGUACUUUUGUGUAUUUGCAACUUUGGCCCAAAAGUUUACGUUUUUACGUAAAGACCCAAAAUCAUUAAAGGACAAAUUGUUUUGUUCCUUUCAUGAAGUUUUUAAAUUUGUUAAAAUUUUUGGGUUCUAGUUGUAAUUACAUGAAGUAGUGGACUUUUGUGUUUUUACAAAGUGACCCCAAAAGUUUAUGUUUUUACAAUAUAGCCCAAAAGUUGAGGUUAUUGCAUUUUGGCCCAAAUUAAGUUGAGAACAAAAUUGUUUUGUCUCUUUAAAUGAGAAUUGGAUUUUCAUUUCAUUUAGCUCCAUUUAAAUCAAUUUUAUGGAUACAAAAACCAAAUGAAAAUGUUGCAUUCAAGUUUAAUUAGUUAAAGCGUGAAUUAAUUAAAGAAAGGGUGAUUAUGAACCUAAGCCUAUUAUAAUUGAGCUAUGUGAAAGGCCGUCUCAAAUUUGUUUGAACCCUGGGAAUGUGUAGAUUAGAUUUUGGUUGUAAUUUGAUAUGAUCAAAUGUUGUAAAAGAGCAUAAGCUCUUCUUUACUUUGAAGUACUCCUUUCUUGUUUUAUUUGAUAUGCAUGAAAAUGGAGUAGCGGGUCCAACGCCCAAUAAGACAACACACCUUAAUAUGAUUAAACGCGUAACUAAAAUCAAUCACCAUCCCUAGACCGAGAUUCAACACUAGGCUCGUGUUGGAUCGAAUCAAAGGUUCAUAGUUAUCCUAAGGCCCUAAGGCAACUAUAUAGUCCAUCAAUGAAUGCAAACCUUAUAUUAGUAGUACCAUAUACUCUUGCUUUAAAAACCGUUUUACAAGCUUAGUGGGAGUAUUAUAUACUACUAAAUCAAUCACAUGGACCAAUAGUUGUAAUAGGACCAAAAUUGUUUUAAUGAGAUUAAAAUGUAUGUUUAUAUGUGAUGAGACCUAAAACCCUCAACCAAACCAUUAUUAAGUGUUGGAAAUGUGCCCUAAAGCCAAUCAAGUGAUGAUACUUUACGGACAUUUCACAUGUUAAACUAAUCUAGUUUAAAUAUAAAGGGCAAAUAUUAUUGUUUGAGCCGUCUCAUAUAAAUGUUAUAUGCUUAAACGAUAAGUCCAAAGAAUAUGUGAUUAGGAGAAUACGAUCUAAAGAAGUUAGAUUCAUGAGACCAUUCUCUUUCGUAUACAUAUCCUAAACGUUCCUGAUCAUAGGAUUGCCAAUUGGGCAUUGACAGUCCAUUAAGAUCAGUACGUGCUGUGUCUUCUCUUAGGGAGAGUGACUAGUCUCGAGUCAUUGGU